rnacentral:lncRNA from 1 species
AUGGAUACGAGGUUUCUUGUUCGGCUUUUAUGAUGGUUGUAAUACAAUAAUGGUUGCUUUAAGAAUAGUUAGGUAUACUUUCUAGUUUCUACACAAAGCUAUAACUGCAAAAAAAGGGUGAUAUUAUAUGUAGUUAAGGACUUAAGGGUAUAACAAAAAAGAUACAAACUUUAGGCAUUUCAUAAUUCAUACACAUACCAUAAGUCAACAUCAAAGAUCCAAGAGCUAUUCAGAGUCAACAACAACCUGAGUCUUAUGCUUUAACUGUAAUGCCGUACGCUCAUUCUCCAACAUCGACCUCUCGUUCUCCAACCGCGCAACCUCAAGCUCUCUAUCCUUUUUGUCGCAAAAUCUUUGCCAUUUAAACCGUCGUUUCUCCAUUUCAUAACCUUCGGUUUCAAGCCCAACUCGCUGUUCUUGUAACUGCAACAUUCGUUUCUCAACCCACACUUUCUUUUGCAGCUUUGAAUUGUUAGGAUCCGCAAAGAAUUCAUUCAUCUCAUCAAGAAAUCGGUUACGACCCGUUACUCGUUGAUCUUCACCAUCGUGAUUCUCAUCAUCAUCAUCGUCGUCGUCAUCGUCACUUUCAUCAUGAUCUCCACCUUCAUCAACACUAUGAAUCACAUUCUCCUUUGACCCGCGUUGAC